rnacentral:rRNA from 1 species
AUUGAACGCUGGCGGCAGGCCUAACACAUGCAAGUCGAACGAGUGGCGGACGGGUGAGUAAUGUCUGGGAAACUGCCGAAUGGAGGGGGAUAACUACUGGAAACAUUAGCUAAUACCGCAUACCAUCGGAUGUGCCCAUAUGGGAUUAGCUAGUGGGUGGGGUAAAGGCUCACCUAGGCGACGAUCCCUAGCGGGUCUGAGAGGAUGACCCGCCACACUGGAACUGAGACACGGGCCAGACUCCUACGGGAGGCAGCAGUGGGGAAUAUUGCACAAUGGGCGCAAGCCUGAUGCAGCCAUGCCGCGUGUAUGAAGAAGGCCUUCGGGUUGUAAAGUACUUUCAGCGGGGAGGCGGUACCCGCAGAAGAAGCACCGGCUAACUCCGUGCCAGCAGCCGCGGUAAUUC